UCAUUCUCAACGAAUACCUGUACUCUCGCUCUGGUGUCUCCACAUCAUAGACUCAAGAUACAUCUAUCCUAAGAAAGCGAUCGUACACCAACCUUCCGGAUCGAUCACCAUCCUCUUGAUGAUCCUAUAGUCAGGAGCUGUUUAUGAGUUAGUUAUGUAAAUUCAUGCCUUAAAUUUUCAACUCUUAAAAAUAUGAAUUUACAUUCUCACUAACUCAAAGGAUGUAUCACAGAUACAAUGUGAUAGAAGAAUAACCCUUUUAUUCAUUUAUAGUCAAAAUUAUAAAUUUACUCUUAGAUUUGUACAGGAAUGUGUCAGCCGAUCUGGCAUCUAGAGCACACAUCUAAUAAACUCCCACUUGACCUAAUACCAAUUGGCUACAUAUCUAAGUCCCAUCUUCUCAAGGUGGGCUUCGAUCUUCUGUUGGCCCAAUGGCUUAGUCAGCGGGUCUGCCACAUUAUCUGUGGAGUCGACUCUCUUGACCUCGACAUAACCUUUUUUGAGGUAAUCAUGGAUC
rnacentral:lncRNA from 1 species